AUUGAACGCUGGCGGCAUGCUUUACACAUGCGAGUCGAACGGCAGCGAGGAGAAGCUUGCUUCUCUGUCGGCGAGUGGCGAACGGGUGAGUAUAGCAUCGGAACGUGCCAAGUAGUGGGGGAUAACCAAACGAAAGUUUGGCUAAUACCGCGUAAGCUCUAAGGAGGAAAGUAGGGGACCUAAAUAAGGCCUUACGCUAUUUGAUCGGCCGAUGUCGGAUUAGCUAGUUGGUGGGGUAAUGGCUCACCAAGGCAAUGAUCCGUAGCGGGUCUGAGAGGACGAUCCGCCACACUGGGACUGAGACACGGCCCAGACUCCUACGGGAGGCAGCAGUGGGGAAUUUUGGACAAUGGGGGAAACCCUGAUCCAGCCAUGCCGCGUGUAUGAAGAAGGCCUUAGGGUUGUAAAGUACUUUUGUUAGGGAAGAAAAGCUAGUUUUUAAUAAAAAUUAGUGAUGACGGUACCUAAAGAAUAAGCACCGGCUAUCUACGUG
rnacentral:rRNA from 1 species